rnacentral:rRNA from 1 species
GACAGAGGAGCCAAGCGUUGUCCGGAGUAACUGGGCGUAAAGCGCACGCAGGUGGUUCUGUGCGUGGGGGUGUGAAAGCUCUCGGCUUAACUGAGAGAGGCCACCUCAUACGGCAGAACUGGAGCCCUGCAGAGGUCCACGGAAUUGCCGGUGUAGUGGUGAAAUGCGUAGGAGAUCGGCAGGGAACACCCAGGGGGGAAACCAGUGGACUGGGCAGGCGCUGACACUCAUGUGCGAAAAG